rnacentral:rRNA from 1 species
UAUGAAACACCUUCCCUAGUACGAAAGGACCGGGAAAGUGGGGCCAAUAUCACAAACACGCCCUCCCUCCAAAUAGUGACCUCAACUCAACUAUCAAGAGACUACUACACCACCAAACCACCCUAGAAAAGGGUUA